GACAGAGGAUGCAAGCGUUAUCCGGAAUGAUUGGGCGUAAAGCGUCUGUAGGUGGCUUUUUAAGUCUGCCGUCAAAUCCCAGGGCUUAACCCUGGACAGGCGGUGGAAACUACCAAGCUGGAGUACGGUAGGGGCAGGGGGAAUUUCCGGUGGAGCGGUGAAAUGCGUAGAGAUCGGAAAGAGCACCAACGGCGAAAGCACUCUGCUGGGCCGACACUGACACUGAGAGACGAAAGCUAGGGGAGCGAAUGGG
rnacentral:rRNA from 1 species